CUCUGGGUAUUUUCCAUUAUGAUGUGAGUUGUCUAAUACCUAAAUAAAUGCCUGUGUUGGUCAUCUUCAUAAAGAGAAAGCCGUGGUUCUGGCUCAUAGUUUUAGAAGGUCCAGUCCAUCGUCCCUCUACCUCCUUGUUUUUCGUCUGGCCAGGAGCCAGUCAUGACUUGGUUGCAUGCGGAGCAAAGAUGUUUAUGUCCUAGCUAGGGUGUUUAAAGGACAAAGAGGAAGAGGGUUCUUCUGUCCCCUUCAUGCAAAUGACUCUGGGGUCCAGGAGCCCUCCCACUUGGCUCCCUUAUACAGCUUCUACUUCCAGAGCUUGGCAGUAUGGGCCUUUGGCAUCCCGGGUUUAAGCCGUGAUACCCUCCCCUUCAGUGAUACUGCUAGCAAGAUUCCACAGGUCCCAGCUUCGUGGGAAGAGGUAUUAAUAAGCGAGCCUGUGGAUUGUAUAGCCAGGUGUUCUCACAGUGCUGAUGCAAUACAU
rnacentral:lncRNA from 1 species